AAACAAGAGAAACGGGGGACAGAAACCUGACAGUGUUCUCUGAAGUUGGAUGCACUUGAAUAUCAAAGGUUUGACAACAGCACAUCCUAAGAAAAUUUCUUCUGAUCUCCUAUGCAAUAAUAUCUGUUUAUCUUUCCGUCUACUGAGAGAAGCAGAAUUUGAAAUGGCAAACAUGCACACCAGCAGAACAUAGACCUGCUGGAAAAAGUCCAGAGGAGGCCAUGCAGAUGAUCAGAGGACUGGAGCACCUCCAGUAUGAAGACAAGCUGAGGGAACUACACGAUCCUUAGGUUCCCUUCCAUCCCAAAACAUUCUGUGAUUCUAUGUCAUGUAACAUUUAGGGUGUUGCUUUUUGGUGUUGGAUGCUGCUUCUAGUCUCCUCCUGUAAAUUCAUAUCCUACAUAUUGACCAGUGAAGAACCUGUACACCACUGCCAUCGUUUCCUGCUAAAAAAAUUUUACAUAAAGAAAUGGAUAAUUACCAACAAAUAAAACAAAUAGAAAAAUACUUGUUUCUCUAUAAGAAUGGAGGAUUUGUUAAGCUAUAAAAUAAUGUUCUAUUUUAGCAAAUAUAGGUUAGCAGAACUGUAUUGCAUGUUCUACUGAGUUUGUUUUGUUUUUUUUAAUUUCUGUUAGGUUUUUUCAAAUCUUCAUUAAUUUUCUGAAAAAUGGACAGUGACAAUAUUAAACAUUAUUGUAUGUUACAGUGGAAAAAUUCAAAGGAAAGAGAAGUAAAAAAUUGAGAAAUAGAGGAUAUUUUGAGAAAUUAGAACUAACAGUCAAGGAAUUGUAAAAUAAAGUUCAGUUAGACAUGAAUUCUACUGCACAAAGGGAAAAUUAAUCAGACACCCCAAUCACUUGAAAAGAAAGAAUAAUGAAACAGUACAUUUCAAAGGUGUUGGAAUCAUAUAGGAAUUCAUAACACAGCAUGAUGGCUUAGGUGGACGUGAUAUUGGUCUGUCUGGGAACAUCCCACUGUGUCUCCUUGAAUAUAAGUGAUCACACUGCAGCACAGGGACUAUUCAAAAGGAUGCAGACAAAUUGGAAAGGACUUCACAGAUGUGAAAGGAAAUAUAUGAGGCCAGAUGUUGAUUAAGGAGUGUUGUGCUUUUGUUGGCUCGCUUUAGAAAUUAAAUCCAUACACAUACAGCAUAAAUACAUAAACACAAGGGGGAAAGAAUUCUUGUUUGCUGAAAUACAGGAAAGUACAGUGGAAAGUGCAUUAGAAGGGAGGUAAGAUAAGAGGAACAGCAGGGAAUAUCUCUAACACUAGAAGAGUCUUGUGGAUCAGAUGAAAGGAUCUUUUUCACCUGAAGUAUUUAGAACACACUUGUAUGGAGGGAGGUAG
rnacentral:lncRNA from 13 species